AGUGGCGGACGGGUGAGUAACGCGUGAGAAUCUGCCUUGGGGUCGGGGACAACCACUGGAAACGGUGGCUAAUACCGGAUAAGCCGAUUGGUGAAAGAUUUAUUGCCCGAAGAGGAGCUCGCGUCUGAUUAGCUAGUUGGUGAGGUAAGAGCUCACCAAGGCAGCGAUCAGUAGCUGGUCUGAGAGGACGAUCAGCCACACUGGGACUGAGACACGGCCCAGACUCCUACGGGAGGCAGCAGUGGGGAAUUUUCCGCAAUGGGCGAAAGCCUGACGGAGCAAGACCGCGUGAGGGAGGAAGGCUCUUGGGUUGUAAACCUCUUUUCUCAGGGAAGAAGCUCUGACGGUACCUGAGGAAUCAGCCUCGGCUAACUCCGUGCCAGCAGCCGCGGUAAUACGGAGGAGGCAAGCGUUAUCCGGAAUUAUUGGGCGUAAAGCGUCCGCAGGUGGCGAUUCAAGUCUGCUGUCAAAGCACGGGGCUUAACUCCGUAAAGGCAGUGGAAACUGAAUAGCUAGAGUGCCGUAGGGGUAGAGGGAAUUCCCGGUGUAGCGGCGAAAUGCGUAGAGAUCGGGAAGAACAUCGGUGGCGAAAGCGCUCUACUGGACGGCAACUGACACUCAGGGACGAAAGCUAGGGGAGCGAAUGGGAUUAGAUACCCC
rnacentral:rRNA from 1 species